rnacentral:lncRNA from 1 species
AAAGAAAGGAAGGAAGGAAGGAAGGAAAAGAAAGAAAGAGAAAGGAGAGAAAGAAAGGGUUAUGACGUUGGGAAGCAUGUUUUUUAAAAUUGUGGAAUGUUCUCAUCUCUGAAAUGUUAAUAUCUGACAGCUAGUUCAGAAUGUCUUACUUCCUAGGUUUUCACUAAAAUUUAAAGUUACUAAGAAUCAGAAUGGCAAUUAAUAUAUUAUUCUGUAUAUAAAAUGUGUGAGAGAAGAUGUGUUUUUACAGAGAAAAACAAAUUAUUUUGUCUAAUUCAUAAGUUAUGUAAAGGUUGAUACAAAUUAUGGACCAUGGUAAACUUUUGUCCUAAAAUAAAAUAAUUGGUCAUUUUAAAAAAAAAAAAAACAAAGAAAGAAAGAAAAUCUAGGACAAAAACGAAGUCCAAGCAUGUUGAAUGGUUUGUGUAAAUAAGUAGUAAAAUACUCUUUAAAAUCUGAUAGAAAAUUGGAGACAUUUGGCUAAUUAACAUUGCUCAUAGCUAAAGAUCUUAGUAUUGAUGAAGGUAAAUUAAGAAAUACUGUAAAGAAAUAUAUUGGCAGCUUGGCAAUUCUUUUCUUUUUUUUUUUUUAACAUACUUAAGCAUGAAUCCAGAUUUAGCAUGGAGCCAAAUUUUACAUACAGGCUUGCAUUGCUUUGUUUCACACUGUAUUUGCUAUUCUGCAUAGACAGUACUAGCACUAAAGUACUUACUGGUCACGUGCUUGAAGUAAAUUUCUUAAUUGCACAGAAGGUAUAGUGAUGUUGCUGGACUUAGAGACAUUAAUUUGUAUAAUAGGAACAAAAUAUCCAACAUAUGUUUGUUUUAGGCUCUGGAUUAUACUGUAACCUUCAAAGUAAACUGAGUAGGUGAAAAAUUGGGGGUUGGUUUCCAGUUUGUUUUUGCUUUUAAUUUUUAAUUAUUUGCUAUUUGUUCUCCUUUGGGUUUUACUGGUAUAUACACAUAUAAAAAACCAUUGAUAGUUUUAGUUUUUAAUGGAAGGCUUGUAUUUUCUUCUAUGAAUAGUCAUUUUGUUUCCUAUGCAUUUCCAACAAUUCAUUAUUUGCUCUAUUUAUCUAAAGUUCUUAAGCUAUCUUUGUCAGGCCUGCAAAAAUGGAUAGGGGACACCAGCCAUUAAAAAUUUGAUUGGUUUUGCUGACUCUGAUGAUCUAGAGAGCUACAAGAGCUUUAAGCUAUGGGUCAAAAAAGAACCCCUAAAAAACAAAAAACCUUGUUUCUUUAAAUAAGUUCUGAGCAGAAAUAGUAGAUUACUUAUUUAUCUGGAAAAGCAGGUAAGAGAAGAAAUGUUUAGACAGUUUUUUUCCCUAAGGAAAUUCAAUUCAAUCAAUAAUUUGAAUCGGUUUCAGAUCUUUUUCUUUAGGUAAUGAGGAAAAAUUGUGAUAGGGGUACAAAGUUUUAAUGUUCAGGAAAGACUAGCUUUGUCCUUAAAAGAAAUUAUAUUGACUGGGAUUUCUCUCAGACUAUGUUAGUUGUAUUUACCACUAUCAAAACUAAGUGACAUUCACUUGGAUUAAGUAGUAGUAAAAAUGUCAGGCUUUCUAGUGAUUCUUUUUUAUUCCAAAUCUGUUAUCACUAUUAGGCCUUAAUGUGUGUACUUGAAAACAAAAUAUAUUCUAGUAUUAUUCUGUUUUGAAGAUUCUGGAGUUGAAAUCUACCUAAUAGUUGUCAGUACCGUAUCUAGAAACCAGUCUUGGAAAUGUAUGAUGAUGCUCUUUUAAAAUAGCAGAAAAAAAUAUUCUGUGCUUGUUUUUACUUUGUCCCUGUUUCACUGUAUAGUAUUUAAGCAAAAAGAGAUUAUUUAUCUUCAUAUUGAAUUUCCAAAACCGAUAUUUGCAUUUACCAUUUUCUUAAAUGAUGGAGAAUAAAGUUAAUUGUCUUACUUGGAUAAGUUUGGCAUUGGACCUAUCACAUUUUUGAUGCUUUGGGUCACAGUUCUGUCACUACAAUGUUAGAAAUUAGAUAUAUGCAAGGAAUAAUCUAGCCACUUUAAUACAGUGAUUUAAAGUGCUGCAGGCAUUAACUACUAGACACCAAUUCACAGUGCUUUAAUUUGUGACAUGUGAGGGAGAAUGACAGGACUUUCUAUAAUAUAAAUGUCCUAUUAACUAGUCCUUGUACUGUUAAGUUAGGACUUUGACUCUUGGGUCUAAAAAAGGCACAGACUCAUGCCAAAUCUUGAACAUUGACAGUAGUCAAAGCCUUGUUUUCAGACCCAGGAGAAGGUGACAAUCAAAAUGAACAACUUGCCCGAGACACAGGGCUAGAAAUUGAAACUAUUCAAUCCCUGUAGGCCCAGGAACUAUUGUGGAAGAUGUGGGCGCAUGUGAGAUUUUAAGGGCUAAUUUUAAGGGACAAAUUAGUUCAAGGUUUUCUAUAAAUUAAAUGUUAAUAUCAAAAGCACACUGAUGCAAUACCAGUAUCUGGGCCAUUGUGAUGGAAUAACACAGUUUUCUUAGAGCAAUGAUUUUAUCUUUAAUAAAAAACAUUGUAAAAGGUUAUAAAAGACUUCUUACCUUAUGAUCAAACUGAUUCAAAUUAGAUUUGUUUAUAAGGUUUUGUUAAAAUUAGCUUUAACAUUAAUGCAUGAGAUUCCUAAAAUUCUGAUGUCUUAAUAUACGUUAUCAGUAAUAAUUACGAUUAUGUUAAAUUUUUGUAUGUCACAGAAAUAACCAAAUUUUCUUGUCAAUUGUGUCUGUUGAGACUUUUCUCAUCCAUAAUUAUUUUGCUUCAAUUGUUUUUAAAAACAGGCUUAUCAUCAGCUACAGUCUGGAACUUGCUUCUUUUGGGGAAUUCAUUAAAAGAAUCCUUGAAUGCAGGUUUCUGAUAACUUUGGAGAUUUUGCCAUUGGGCUAGAGAGAAAACUUCCAGGAUAUUAAUUGAAAAGCUGAUGUGUUCUUAAAGAUUACUAACCCAAUAUGAAGCAGAGUGGGAGUUGAUUGCAUGGACUGAGCUAAUGGAGGACAGAAAUAAUUUUUAUGGUUUUUUUUUUUUUUUUUUUUUGGUUCUUUGAAACAUUGCUGAUUCUUUUUGUUUUGUUUUUCAGAGUCUGGAGAACACUUUUUCUUUUGAGCUGUUUACAACCUUUAGCAAUUGAGUAGAGUGUACUCUUGUCAAUAGAAUUUGAAGCACAUUUCUCUCUCUGCCUGAUUUCUGUAGAAUUUGUAAACUAUUUGUGAAUAUUCUUAAUUUAUGGCAAUAUGGUUGCUUACAUAAGUUCAAUAAUAAUCUGUUUUCUUUUACAAUGAGACACAGUUGGAGGAACUGGUUAUUUUCCCAGGGCUUUGACUGAAAUGGCCUUGUGAAUGGUUCCAGGAAAGCCAAUUUUGGAGACCCUAUGUGGAUGAUGAUGCUUGCUGUACUUUCUGUGGGUAAUCGGGCCAAGUAUAUGGGACUGAAGCUAAUUUUGCAGGAAACCAACCAUCACACCUCCCAGACAGUAUCAAGGAGGUGAAACUUACCAGAUCACUGCAUCUGGACAAAGAGAUGCCAGACCCCUCACCCAUGAGGAUUGCCUAACUUUCCACCUACUUCCUGUCAACCAACUUCUCUUCCUUACCCCUCCCUAAUUCCUGUUUUCUUAUACAUGGUUACAUUUCUUCCCUGCUAUGUAAACCCCUAAUUUUAGCUAAUUUGAAAGACAAAUUUGAGACUGAUCUCCUAACUCCUCAGCUGCAGCAUCCAAUUAAAGCCUUCUUCCAUGGCAAUACUCAUUGUCUCUUUGAUUGGCAUUCUGUGCUGUGAGCAGCAGGGCCUAGACCAAAUCCCUAGCAUUUUGGUGACAAUAAGUUGGGAUCAUAUGACUGAAUUUGGGACAAUGCAAUGUGGGUGGAAAUUAUGUAAGCCAUUCUAGGCAUGGUCCUUAAAUCCUGACCCUGCGGCUCUCUUUUCCCUUUCAAGGCAACAUAGAGAGACUUGAGUUCCAGGGGGAAAGUUUUAGGAUGGAGAGAAGCCCUCACUGGACUGUGAUGUGGGUGAGAAAUCUGUGUUAAGUCCCUGAGAUAUAGGUGUUUAUUACUACCCCAGCAUAGCUUAGCUGAUUUAAGAGGAGUUAAGAAGCUUCCCUUGCCUUUAAAAGUAUGCUAUAGGUAAGUCCAGGAAUACAAAAGCACUUCCAGAAAGCUCCAGGGAGCUACAGUUUGGGAGAUGGAAGGUCCAGCAGACUAGAGCCAAAAGUAAUACAGUUCUAGCAAUUAAGCCUUUCACUUUGUGCACACAGCUGGCACAUAAACUAGUCCCAGAGCACCUGAGCAAGGAUUAUUUCUAGCAACUUUCACAUUACCAACUCAGAAACAAUUCAAUUCUUUGUCUCCCUUGUGAUGCUCCUUCUGGUAGGUUUUGACUCUCUUUUCCUCCAACAAUAUUAAGUCUGCUCCCCUGUAUCUGACUUUGAGGGGAGGUCACCACUGGUGAAACCAAUGUGUCUUGAAUUAUACUCUUCUAUGGAAGGCCCCACUUAGUAAUUCUGAAAGAUUCAUUAUUCCCACCUAUAAUCUAAAUUACCUGAUGACUUAUCUUGCUAGAAUCAUCAUUUUAAUCUCUAGGUGAAUGUCCAAGAUAUAUAUUAUUAUUAAUAUCUUGACUGCCAUAGUUACUGUAAGACUGCCUGAGAAAACUGUGAUCUCCUUAAAAACAGGGACCACAUUUUGCAUCUUCAUCAUCUCUUUGUGUCCAGCACCAAGCGUGAUGCUUGGUGCGAAGUGAUGUAUGCUUCAUAAAGGCAGGACCAAGGUCUUCACCUCCACCCUACUACACCCAACAGUUCUUUUCUGCUUUUCACUGUGCUUGUGGUGGUGGUUUGACUGGAGUUGGAGGCUGUGUUUUGCCAUAUGUAUCUGCCAAUAUUUCUCUUCAGAGAACUUUUACCUAGGAUGACCUCUUCAAGGUGGCACAAGAGAAUGCCUGAGGGACAUGUCUCUCAACCCCAUGUCCAUUAAUUGUAACAAAAUAGUUGCCUCAUGGCUGGAACACUCCUUUAUCCCUACUGGCAGCACCCAAUAGCUCUGCUGGGCCAGUAGGGUGAAGUCAUAAUUGGAGCACACUUUGCUUAUAGAGAUUAGUUACAAAUGCCAAGUUCAAGGGAGACUGGCCACUGCACCCAAAAUAAACCUGGGAAGCAGCCCUUCUUAUAAUUUUCUCUCAACUGAGGGAGAUAUUCCAAGAAAAAGAAUUCUGGGGACUCAGAUACAGAGAGGCACAGAAUCAUAGAUAUUCAAAGAUGAAAGGGCCUUAAGAUCAUUUUCCAAUCUCCUUACUUUACAGGUGAGAAAAUGGAGGUCCAGAGAGAAAAGUGACUCACCCAAGCUGAAAACAGUUGCAGGAAGAAAAGCCAGGACAGAACUGGGCUGUUAGAAACCUUGGAGUACACUAAAGAUGAGGAACUGAGUCACCGCAAUGCCAAAUGUAACACGCUGUGGGUCAAAAUUUGGAUGGUUGCGUUGGAAAUUAUUCUGAAGCCACAGACAGGGCUAAAAGGUAAGUAUGAAUAAUUAGUAAUGCUUGCCAUAGACAGAUUAAAGUGUUGACAUCACAUAGGACAAGAAUUUGCCACCAAUAGAUGAGAGGAUUGUUGAUGUCCUUGAAUUGGAAAUGAACGAGCUAAUUGGUUAGUUACUUAUUCACUCUAACCCAGAAAGCAGCAGCUUGUGAAAAAAGUUUUUGCUGGUAACACACAGGAAAUAGAAAAUUUAGUAUUUUUUCCAGUGGAAAAGCCCUCUUGUAUCACCAAGCAGAAGAGAACAUGAUGUCUUUUCUUUUGAUGUAAUUUAGGAUGAUUCACAAAGUGUUCAUAGCAGGGAAGCUGAUGGAAAAGUGACAUGCCCCUAGACUUGAGAGAUGCUCUCUAAGUUUAAAAAGGAAACAGCUUAUUGUAAAAUUUAUUUGAAUCCUACAACCUUCCCAUAUCUGUGUAAUUAGCAAAAAGACAAGCUGCAACCAGAGAGGUAAAGUAUCAAUUUAUCUCAUACUUAUUUAUUGAGAACAUCCUCUGAGCUGUGUACUAUGUUAGGCAGAGAAAACAAACAAUAAGCAAGACACAGUCCCUGACUCCAUAUGAUUAUCAGGGAGGCUAGGAAAAGUCAUCUCUGCUUGGACAACUCCUUUCCAGAAAUACCUCUCUUCUCUUAAAGGGACAUGCACAUGUACAUAUUAUAAUAAAUGAAUCGAGGAAAUAUAUAAUAUUUAUAUAUAAUAUAUAAAUAUA